GGCAAAGCCCUGCUGCCCUGAGGAGGAGGAAGGGCAGCCGGAUGAGGAUGUUGGAGGAUGAUGGCCAGGCCUGGCGGUGGUGGGGAGAUGGCAGCAGCGGUGGGGGGGCUGGCCUGGCCCGGCUUGGCCAGUGAGGCGGCAGCCCUGCUGCCAGGAAGAGCCACCAGGAAGAGGAAGAGGGAGGCCAAGAGGAGCCCGGCUGGCGGCAGAGCCAUGCCACACCAGGCGGGGAAGGAAAGUGCUGAUGGUGGGUGGGGAGAGAAAGAUGAGAGGAGCCCGGCUGGGGAAGGCGCAGAUGCUGGGAGGGAGAACAGUCUUCUUGCCAUAAUUCUAUCCUCCAGAAGAGGUGCCUAUCAUUGCUGUAUGUCCAGAAAAAUGAUUUUAUUUAUUCUGCAUUCCUACUGUAUUUCAUUAAAACUGGAAAUCCAAUAAUAAUUCUUAAUAAUACAA